UUGAUUCCAAACAGAAUAUAUUUUUAUUCAUUUAUUAUUUUGACGUUAAAAAAUAUUUCUUUAGUUUUAUUUGUAUAUUGAUUUUUUAAUAAUUUAGUUUCUUUUUAAGUAAUUUGAAAAUUAUCAGGAAUAUAAUAUAUUUAAAAUUAUUUAUUUAAAUAUAUCCAAAUAUGAUGUCUCAUUUUUAUGUGUGUUUGCGUUGAGCAUAUUUAAUUUGUAGUUUGUAUAGUUAAUAACACCUUGUUGCGUGCCGUUAUAUGGUUUUAAUAAAUGUGUUGUCAUUUCAUUUUUAUUAUUACUAACGUGAUUUUUUAGUGAUCAGUGAUAAUGUAUGUUUAGCGUUAGGAUUUAUUUUUUUAUGGUAUAUUUUCUAACUCUUCAUGCUGACACUUUUUUAGAAUCAUUUUAAUUAGAUAGUAGGUUUAAAGAUGCAAAUAAAACUAUGUAUGUUGCAAAAUUUAGACUUUUUAGUGUAACUGAGCACUAUCAAUUAUAGAAACUAUAUUAUGAUUUUAAUUUACUAAAUCUUUCUUUCUGUGUAUAUUUUUUUUGUUUUAUUUUGUAUUUUACAAUUUUAUUGCCAUAUUCUUUGAUUGUAGAGAAUUUCUAUUUCUAAUUUUUGUUUCAUAUACCUUAAAAGUCUUUGGUUGAUUUUUGUUUGUUUUCUUUCUCCAAUUACAAUGUACAGUUCGACCGUUUUUUUUUUUUUUUGGAAUCAAACUACUAAUAUAAUCAGAUAGAAAAACUUAAACUCCAAGAAUGUAGUGAGUAUUUGUGCUAAAGAAAACUGAUUUAGCUACUAAUAUAGUGCGAUAUUAUAAUAUUAGAAGGUAUGAAAACUCUUCUCUGUUGUCCUAAUUAAGUUGUUGUCAAUUAAUUCUAUAUUUGUGAUAACUGGAAAUACAUCUUUAUGUCUUUCUUACAUCAUUCUUAAUUAGUUUAUGGUUCAACCAUUUCUAAUAUACUCAGAGUAACAUAAUAUUAGAUGUUGAUUAUCUCCUUCCAAUUAGUAAUGCAUAGAAUGAGAGAAAUUCAAGGUAAGACCAUUUUAAAAUUUUGUCAUCAUAUCUAUAUAGAGUUAGUUUAUAUAUUGCUUUAUCUGUUUCAAAAUGUAAUCAGUUUAAUUAAAUUCUG
rnacentral:lncRNA from 1 species